UACGAGAGGCCCAAACGUUAUUCGGAUUUACUGGGCUUAAAGAGUUCGUAGGCGGCGCAGAAAGUAGGGUGUGAAAGCCCUCGGCUCAACCGAGGAAUUGCGCCCUAAACUACUGUGCUAGAGGAAGCUAGAGGUGAGCAGAACAGAUGGUGGAGCGGUGAAAUGCGUAGAUAUCAGGAGGAACACCGGUGGUGCAAACGGCUUUCUGGACCGUAACUGACGCUGAGACACGAAAGCGUGGGGAGCAAACAGG
rnacentral:rRNA from 1 species